rnacentral:rRNA from 1 species
GGCUCAGGAUGAACGCUAGCGGCAGGCUUAACACAUGCAAGUCGAGGGGCAGCGCGAGUAGCAAUACUUGGCGGCGACCGGCGCAAGGGUGCGUAACGCGUGAGCAACAUGCCCGUAUCAGGGGGAUAAUCCAGGGAAACUUGGUCUAAUACCCCAUAGUAAUUUUUGUAAGGCAUCUUAUAAGAUUUAAAGCUUUGGUGGAUACGGAUUGGCUCGCGUGACAUUAGCUGGAUGGUAAGGUAACGGCUUACCAUGGCUAUGAUGUCUAGGGGUUCUGAGAGGAAGGUCCCCCACACUGGAACUGAGACACGGUCCAGACUCCUACGGGAGGCAGCAGUGAGGAAUAUUGGACAAUGGAUGGAAAUCUGAUCCAGCCAUGCCGCGUGAAGGAAAGAAGGUCCUAUGGAUUGUAAACUUCUUUUGUAUGGGAGCAAUAAGGCCUACGAGUAGGUUGAUGAGAGUACCAUACGAAUAAGCACCGGCUAACUCCGUGCCAGCCGCAGC